CCUAGAGUUGUAGGCUUUGCCUGCUAUCUCUUACCCAUGUCUUUUGAGUACCUUACGUUUCCUCGGUGGGUUCGCCCAGCCGAUCGGACAACUUAAACCAUUUGCAGUUGAAAUCAGCGUCUGAAAAAACUUAAUAGUUA
rnacentral:misc_RNA from 1 species